GAUGGUAGGAUAGUGGCCUACCAUGGUAUCAACGGGUAACGGGGAAUUAGGGUUCGACUCCGGAGAGGGAGCCUGAGAAACGGCUACCACAUCCAAGGAAGGCAGCAGGCGCGCAAAUUACCCAAUCCCGACACGGGGAGGUAGUGACAAUAAAUACUGAUACAGGGCUCUUUUGGGUCUUGUAAUUGGAAUGAGUACAAUUUAAAUCCCUUAACGAGGAACAAUUGGAGGGCAAGUCUGGUGCCAGCAGCCGCGGUAAUUCCAGCUCCAAUAGCGUAUAUUAAAGUUGUUGCAGUUAAAAAGCUCGUAGUUGAACCUUGGGCCUGGCUGGCCGGUCCGCCUCACCGCGUGUACUGGUCCGGCCGGGCCUUUCCUUCUGGGGAACCUCAUGCCCUUCACUGGGCGUGUUGGGGAACCAGGACUUUUACUUUGAAAAAAUUAGAGUGUUCAAAGCAGGCCUUUGCUCGAAUACAUUAGCAUGGAAUAAUAGAAUAGGACGUGUGGUUCUAUUUUGUUGGUUUCUAGGACCGCCGUAAUGAUUAAUAGGGAUAGUCGGGGGCAUCAGUAUUCAAUCGUCAGAGGUGAAAUUCUUGGAUUGAUUGAAGACUAACUACUGCGAAAGCAUUUGCCAAGGAUGUUUUCAUUAAUCAGUGAACGAAAGUUAGGGGAUCGA
rnacentral:rRNA from 1 species